AUGAACGCUGGCGGCGUGCCUAAUACAUGCAAGUCGCGCGAACGGACGAGAAGCUUGCUUCUCUGAUGUUAGCGGCGGACGGGUGAGUAACACGUGGAUAACCUACCUAUAAGACUGGGAUAACUUCGGGAAACCGGAGCUAAUACCGGAUAAUAUUUUGAACCGCAUGGUUCAAAAGUGAAAGACGGUCUUGCUGUCACUUAUAGAUGGAUCCGCGCUGCAUUAGCUAGUUGGUAAGGUAACGGCUUACCAAGGCAACGAUGCAUAGCCGACCUGAGAGGGUGAUCGGCCACACUGGAACUGAGACACGGUCCAGACUCCUACGGGAGGCAGCAGUAGGGAAUCUUCCGCAAUGGGCGAAAGCCUGACGGAGCAACGCCGCGUGAGUGAUGAAGGUCUUCGGAUCGUAAAACUCUGUUAUUAGGGAAGAACAUAUGUGUAAGUAACUGUGCACAUCUUGACGAUACCUAAUCAGAAAGCCACGGCUAACUACGUG
rnacentral:rRNA from 1 species